GGGCCCGCACAAGCGGUGGAGCAUGUGGUUUAAUUCGAUGAUACGCGAGGAACCUUACCAGGACUUAAAUGUAAGUUGCAUGAUUCAGAAAUGAAUCUUUCUUCGGACUACUUACAAGGUGCUGCAUGGUUGUCGUCAGCUCGUGCCGUGAGGUGUCAGGUUAAGUCCUAUAACGAGCGCAACCCCUGUCGUUAGUUGCCAGCAAGUUAAGUUGGGCACUCUAGCGAGACUGCCGGUGCAAACCGCGAGGAAGGUGGGGAUGACGUCAAAUCAUCACGGCCCUUACGUCCUGGGCUACACACGUGCUACAAUGGCCGGUACAGAGAGCAGCCACUACGCGAGUAGGAGCGAAUCUUCAAAGCCGGUCUCAGUUCGGAUCGCAGUCUGCAACUCGACUGCGUGAAGCUGGAAUCGCUAGUAAUCG
rnacentral:rRNA from 1 species